ensembl:lncRNA
AUGGGAAGUCAGGUUGUGAGCUUCUCUGGACUCUUUGGCCUGGGUCCCCUGGAGGCUGCUCCAGAGGCUGUGCUGGGAGGGGGCCAAGGCAUACCUUGGUGCCUCUCCCUCCCUCCCUCUCUCUCUCUCUCUCUCUCUCUCUCUCUCUCUCUCUCUCUCUCUCUCUCUCUCUUUCUCUCUCUCUCUCUCUGUAUCUGUCUCUGUGUGUCUGUCUCUUUCUCUCUGUCUCUCCCUAUCUCUGUCUCUCUGUAUCUGUCUCUCUCUCUCUCUGUCUCUGUCUCUGUCUCUCUCUCUCUCUGUCUUUCUCUGUCUCUCUCUGUGUCUGUCUGUCUCUCUGUCUGUCUGUCUCUGUCUGUCUCUCUGUCUCUCUUUCUCUCUCUCUGCCUGUCUUCCUGUCUGUCUCUUUGUAUCUCUGUCUCUGUGUGCCUGUCUCUUUCUCUCUCUAUCUCUCUCUGUCUCUGUCUCGGUGUCUCUGUCUCUCUCUAUCUCUGUCUGUGUGUCUUUCUCUGUAUCCCUCUCUGUGUCUCUCUGUCUCUCUGUCUGUUUGCCUGUCUAUCUGUGUAUCUGUCUCUGUAUGUCUGUCUCUGUCUCUCUCUGUGUCUCUCUACAUCUCUCUGUCUCUCUCUUUGUGUCACUGUCUCUUUCUCUGUAUCUCUCCAUCUCUCUGUCUGUCUGUCUAUCUGUCUCUGUGUGUUUGUCUCUGUCUCUGUGUCUGUCUGUCUCUCUCUCCAUCUCUCUGUCUCUCUGUCUCUCUUUCUCUCUCUCUGCCUGUCUUCCUGUCUGUCUCUUUGUAUCUCUGUCUCUGUGUGCCUGUCUCUUUCUCUUUCUCUCUCUAUCUCUCUCUGUCUCUGUCUCGGUGUCUCUGUCUCUCUCUAUCUCUCUGUCUGUUUGCCUGUCUAUCUGUGUAUCUGUCUCUGUAUGUCUGUCUCUGUCUCUCUCUGUGUCUCUCUACAUCUCUCUGUCUCUCUCUUUGUGUCACUGUCUCUUUCUCUGUAUCUCUCCAUCUCUCUGUCUGUCUGUCUAUCUGUCUCUGUGUGUUUGUCUCUGUCUCUGUGUCUGUCUGUCUCUCUCUCCAUCUCUCUGUCUCUCUGUCUCUCUUUCUCUCUCUCUGCCUGUCUUCCUGUCUGUCUCUUUGUAUCUCUGUCUCUGUGUGCCUGUCUCUUUCUCUUUCUCUCUCUAUCUCUCUCUGUCUCUGUCUCGGUGUCUCUGUCUCUCUCUAUCUCUGUCUGUGUGUCUUUCUCUGUAUCCCUCUCUGUGUCUCUCUGUCUCUCUGUUUGCCUGUCUAUCUGUGUAUCUGUCUCUGUAUGUCUGUCUCUGUCUCUCUCUGUGUCUCUCUACAUCUCUCUGUCUCUCUCUUUGUGUCACUGUCUCUUUCUCUGUAUCUCUCCAUCUCUCUGUCUGUCUGUCUAUCUGUCUCUGUGUGUUUGUCUCUGUCUCUGUGUCUGUCUGUCUCUCUCUCCAUCUCUCUGUCUCUCUGUCUCUCUUUCUCUCUCUCUGCCUGUCUUCCUGUCUGUCUCUUUGUGUCUCUGUUUCUGUGUGUCUGUCUCUGUCUCUUUCUCUCUCUGUCACUCUCUGUGUUUUUCUCUGUAUCCCUUUCUCUGUGUCUCUCUGUCUCUCUGUCUGUUUUCCUGUCUAUGUAUCUGUCUCUGUAUGUCUCUCUGUCUGUCUCUGUCUCUUUCUGUGUCUCUCUUUAUCUCUCUGUCUCUCUCUGUGUAUCUCUCCAUCUCUCUAUCUGUCUGCCUGUCUGUGUAUCUGUCUCUGUGUGUCUGUCUCUGUCUCUCUCUCUAUCUCUGUCUUUCUGUAUCUGUCUCUCUGUCUCUCUGCCUGUCUCUUCCUCUCUGUGUCUCUCUCUCCCUCUCUCUCUCUGUCUCUGUCUCUCUUUCUGUCUCUGUCUCUAUCUCUGUCUGUCUCUGUGUCUGUCUGUCUCUGUCUCUCUGUGUAUCUGUCUCUCUCUGUCUCUCUGCUCUCUCUCUCUCUGCCUGUCUUCCUGUCUGUCUCUGUGUAUCUGUCUCUGUGUGUCUGUCUCUGUCUCUUUCUCUGUCUCUGUGUCUUUCUCCAUGUCUCUUUGUCUCUCCCUCUCUAUCUGUGUGUCUGUCUCUCUGUCUCUCUCUGUGUGUCUUUCUCUGUAUCCCUCUCUCUGUGUCUCUCUGUCUCUCUGUCUGUUUGCCUAUCUGUAUAUCUGUCUCUGUAUGUCUCUGUCUCUCUCUGUGUCUCUCUCCAUCUCUCUGUCUCUCUGUCUAUCUGUCUGCCUGUCUGUCUGUGUAUCUGUCUCUGUGUCUCUCUGUGUCUCUCUCCAUCUCUGUCUCUGUCUCUCUGUCUCUCUCUGUCUCUCUCUCUACAGGGUUUUAA